rnacentral:rRNA from 1 species
CCUACGGGAGGCAGCAGUGGGGAAUAUUGCGCAAUGGGGGAAACCCUGACGCAGCAACGCCGCGUGAGUGAGGAAGGACUUCGGUCUGUAAAGCUCUGUUAAUGAGGAAAAAUGGUAGUUGGUCUAAUAGGCCGAUUAUUUGAUGGUACUCAUAGAGGAAGCACCGGCUAACUUCGUGCCAGCAGCCGCGGUAAUACGAAGGGUGCAAGCGUUGUUCGGAUUUAUUGGGCGUAAAGCGCGCGUAGGCGGACCUGCAAGUAAGAUGUGAAAUCUCGAGGCUCAACCUCGAAACUGCGUCUUAAACUACAGGUCUAGAAUCUCGGAGGGGGAAGGGGAAUUUCGCAUGUAGGGGGUAAAAUCUGUAGAUAUGCGAAGGAACACCAGAGGCGAAGGCGCCUUCCUGGACGAGUAUUGACGCUGAGGCGCGAAAGCGUGGGGAUCAAACAGGAUUAGAUACCCUGGUAGUCCACGCUGUAAACGAUGAACACUAGGUAUUGGAGGAUUUGACCCCUUCAGUGCCGUAGCUAACGCGUUAAGUGUUCCGCCUGGGAAGUACGGUCGCAAGACUAAAACUCAAAGGAAUUGACGG